rnacentral:rRNA from 1 species
GACGAACGCUGGCGGCGUGCUUAACACAUGCAAGUCGAACGCUGAAGCUUGGUGCUUGCACUGGGUGGAUGAGUGGCGAACGGGUGAGUAAUACGUGAGUAACCUGCCCUUGACUCUGGGAUAAGCCUGGGAAACUGGGUCUAAUACUGGAUAUGACAUGCCACCGCAUGGUGGUGUGUGGAAAGGGUUUUACUGGUUUUGGAUGGGCUCACGGCCUAUCAGCUUGUUGGUGGGGUAAUGGCCUACCAAGGCGACGACGGGUAGCCGGCCUGAGAGGGUGACCGGCCACACUGGGACUGAGACACGGCCCAGACUCCUACGGGAGGCAGCAGUGGGGAAUAUUGCACAAUGGGCGGAAGCCUGAUGCAGCGACGCCGCGUGAGGGAUGACGGCCUUCGGGUUGUAAACCUCUUUCAGCACGGAAGAAGCGAGAGUGACGGUACGUGCAGAAGAAGCGCCGGCUAACUACGUG